AAAUUAAAGAAGGAUGUGAAGGUUAGGCUAAGAAGUGUGAUGAGCUUUAUUUAGGUAAUAGGCAAUGAGGAGAAAUUGAAACAUGAAGGAACAUAAUUUGAGGUGUGAUUAUUUGAGUUUUUAAAAUAUUAUCACUGUGCAUCAGAAUGGGUUAGGGAAGGCUUAAAUCCUGGAUGCUGGCUCAGCACCUAUUAGAGCAAUUAAAAUGAGAAAUGAUGCAGACUAAACUAGAAUUUCAGGUAAAAAUAGGAAAAAUAUGGUAUACGCGUUAAAAAAUGGUAUAGGCGUUAAAAAACUACACUUGACUGAGUUAGAAUAUGGAGGAAAAGGAAGUAUGGAGAUCAGAAGAAAACAUCAGGAUUUGGGAGCUUGGACACAGCUAACUUGUCUCCAACUAGACUUUCCAGAAGGA
rnacentral:lncRNA from 1 species